rnacentral:lncRNA from 1 species
UGUAAGCUCAAAUGUCUCCAUCUGAACAUAGAAAAAUCCAACUUGUAGAGAGUGAUUUUAGAAUCCUGGCAAUCAACUGUUCUUUUUAUCUUUCCUUUUUCCACACUCCAAGGCUAUGCUUUAGCACCAACCUGAAAACUGGUUUCUAAGACCCUGAUAUCACUUGAUGAACAAAUAAUAAGUUUCUAAGACCCUGAUAUUACUUGAUGAACAAAUAAUAAGUUUUCUUGUAUUAAAUGAG